rnacentral:rRNA from 1 species
UACGUAGGGUGCAAGCGUUAAUCGGAAUUACUGGGCGUAAAGCGUACGCAGGCGGUUUUGUAAGUCUGACGUGAAAUCCCCGGGCUCAACCUGGGAAUUGCGUUGGAGACUGCAAGGCUAGAAUCUGGCAGAGGGGGGUAGAAUUCCACGUGUAGCAGUGAAAUGCGUAGAGAUGUGGAGGAACACCGAUGGCGAAGGCAGCCCCCUGGGUCAAGAUUGACGCUCAUGCACGAAAGCGUGGGGAGCAAACAGG